AUCCAGCUAACGAGUCCCAAAAUAAUACAAAACGCGCGUCCUGGAU
rnacentral:hammerhead_ribozyme from 1 species